rnacentral:RNase_P_RNA from 1 species
UUGGACGGCUGGGCGAUCGCGCGACCGGUCUGGGCGCUUGCCAAGGCAACUUGGUAGGCAUGCAGGACGGAGUGAGGAAAGUCCGCACUCCACUGGGCAGGGUAGCGGGUAAUUCCCGUCCGCCGUGAGGCGAGGACCAGUGGCACAGAGACGAUGUCCCGGGUAUGACUGUCGCUCCGUGAAAGCGGCGACGACAGGACGGCUGCGGGAGUGAAAAGGGUCAAACUCUACCCGGAGCAAGCCCGAGCAGGGACGAUGACGCUGCCCGCCGAGUCCCAGGUUGGGUGCAAGGAUCCCCGGGGUGACCCGAGGGACAAGAGAGAUGAUCGCCCCCGGCCGCAUGGCCGGUGACAGAAUGCGGCUUAUGGGCCGUCCUGUUCC